rnacentral:rRNA from 1 species
UACGGGGGGUGCAAGCGUUGCUCGGAAUCACUGGGCGUAAAGCGUCCGCAGGCGGCUUGAUAAGUCGGGUGUGAAAGCCCGGGGCUCAACCCCGGAACUGCAUUCGAAACUGUCUGGCUUGAGUACGGGAGAGGGUCGUGGAAUUCCUGGUGUAGAGGUGAAAUUCGUAGAUAUCAGGAGGAACACCGGUGGCGAAAGCGGCGACCUGGCCCGAUACUGACGCUCAUGCACGAAAGCGUGGGGAGCAAACAGG